GAUGAACGCUGGCGGCGUGCCUAAUACAUGCAAGUAGAACGCUGAAGCUUGGUGCUUGCACCGAGCGGAAGAGUUGCGAACGGGUGAGUAACGCGUAGGUAACCUGCCUCUUAGCGGGGGAUAACUAUUGGAAACGAUAGCUAAUACCGCAUAAAAGUCGGCAUUGCAUGAUGUUGACUUGAAAGGUGCAACUGCAUCACUAAGAGAUGGACCUGCGUUGUAUUAGCUAGUUGGUGAGGUAACGGCUCACCAAGGCGACGAUACAUAGCCGACCUGAGAGGGUGAUCGGCCACACUGGGACUGAGACACGGCCCAGACUCCUACGGGAGGCAGCAGUAGGGAAUCUUCGGCAAUGGACGGAAGUCUGACCGAGCAACGCCGCGUGAGUGAAGAAGGUUUUCGGAUCGUAAAGCUCUGUUGUAAGAGAAGAACGAGUGUGAGAGUGGAAAGUUCACACUGUGACGGUAACUUACCAGAAAGGGACGGCUAACUACGUGCCAGCAGCCGCGGUAAUACGUAGGUCCCGAGCGUUGUCCGGAUUUAUUGGGCGUAAAGCGAGCGCAGGCGGUUAGAAAAGUCUGAAGUGAAAGGCAGUGGCUCAACCAUUGUAGGCUUUGGAAACUGUUUAACUUGAGUGCAGAAGGGGAGAGUGGAAUUCCAUGUGUAGCGGUGAAAUGCGUAGAUAUAUGGAGGAACACCGGUGGCGAAAGCGGCUCUCUGGUCUGUAACUGACGCUGAGGCUCGAAAGCGUGGGGAGCGAACAGG
rnacentral:rRNA from 1 species